GUGGGGAAUCUUGCACAAUGGGGGAAACCCUGAUGCAGCGACGCCGCGUGAACGAUGAAGCCCUUCGGGGUGUAAAGUUCUUUCGACAGGAACGAUAAUGACGGUACCUGGAGAAGAAGCUGCGGCUAACUACGUGCCAGCAGCCGCGGUAAUACGUAGGCAGCGAGCGUUGUUCGGAGUUACUGGGCGUAAAGAGUGCGUAGGCGGCGAGCCAAGUUUGGUGUGAAAUCUCCCGGCUUAACCGGGAGGGUGCGCCGAAAACUGGUUGGCUGGAGUAUGGGAGAGGACAGCGGAAUUCCUGGUGUAGCGGUGAAAUGCGUAGAUAUCAGGAGGAACACCUGCGGUGUAGACAGCUUUCUGGACCAAAACUGACGCUGAGGCACGAAAGCGUGGGUAGCAAACA
rnacentral:rRNA from 1 species